GCUUGUCUCAAAGAUUAAGCCAUGCAUGUCUAAGUAUAAGCAAUUUGUACUGUGAAACUGCGAAUGGCUCAUUAAAUCAGUUAUAGUUUAUUUGAUCUUACCUUACUACUUGGAUAACCGUGGUAAUUCUAGAGCUAAUACAUGCAAAAAUGGGCGACUUCUGGAAGCUCAGUAUUUAUUAGAUAAAAAACCAAUGCGGCCUUCUGGUCGGUAUUGUGGUGAAUCAUAGUAACUUUUCGAAUCGCAUGGCUUCACGCCGGCGAUAGUUCAUUCAAAUUUCUGCCCUAUCAGCUUUCGACGGUAGUGUAGUGGACUACCGUGGCGUUAACGGGUAACGGAGAAUUAGGGUUCGAUUCCGGAGAGGGAGCCUGAGAAACGGCUACCACAUCCAAGGAAGGCAGCAGG
rnacentral:rRNA from 1 species